CUUCAAAUUAUCCAGAGAAUAAUAUUCAUGGUAUUCCUAAAACUGUCUCUGUUAUCAGUAAAAUGAAAGAUGAGUAUGCUGGUGUACCAAUUGUACUACUUUAUGGUACCGGUGCCAAAGCUUGUUGUAUGCAAACAGUAAAUGAUGAAAAGGCUAAAGUUGUAAGUAAACAUGUAAUUGAGAAAUCUCCAACAAUGUUACAAUAUCUCGCAAAUCGUAGAUUUUGUUAAUUUUAUACCUAAUGAAACUUCAGAGAAAAACAACACAAUUUCUACGAGAUCUGUGUCCAAAAAUUUGCAAGAAUGCCUAAAAAAUGAAUUUUAGGUCAUCAUGACGUCACAGGCCGAGAACUUUUAGCUUUUUAAUAAAGACAUAAAAGCAAAACGCUGAUUGAAUAUUAUAUCUGUUGCAACCUGCAAUCAGGACUUGAAGAAUAGACAAAGGAAUUAGUAACACUUGUUCCUGUUAAUACCUACAAAGAAGAAUUGCACAACUCUUCCCAGUCUCAGAAGUCUUACGCCCAGUAGCUCUUGCAGACUUAAAUUCGGUGAUAUAUUAAACUUAAAAAGUGUUGUUUAGAAGUAAAAAAUCUGACGUAUUGCAAUUUUUUACAUUAACUACGGACAAAAAGUUUGUGAGGUGGAGUUUGUGUGAAAAACAAUUUUUUUUUUAAAUACAACCACUUUAAAUCAACACUUAAACGAAUACAUCCAAGCAAUUUGCUGCCUGUGGUUGAAGACAGAAGCGGUGAUAACAAAAAUAAUCCUUCAAUUCAACUGAGACAUGCGACGAAAAAUCCAACAACUUCUGGUUCAGUUGAACGUGCAUCCACCUCAUACUCUGCAACGCCGCCACAAUCAGCAUCUUUUGUCAAAACGACAAAAGCAACUGCGGCUAUUUGGUUGCACUAGGUCUAACAUCGAGUUGUCUGAAGCCGACAACACUGCUUUAAAAGUUGCAUUAAUAAAGAUGAUUGUUAUGGACUGCCAGCCUCUUAGAGUGUAGAAGAUCGAGGAUUGCGAGAGUUUGUGUCAAAAUUAAACAAACUUUAUAAAACUCCAUCAAGAAAAUUGGUAACUUCCCAGCUGCUUAAUCAACUUUACUGGCGAGAAGUUGAUGUAUUGAAGGAAAAAUUGAUAUCUGUAAGGCAUGUUGGUGUAACAACAGACCUCUGGACUUCAGAAAGUACAAAACAUUUCGUAAAAGUGACCGUUCAUUUUAUUCUUAAUGAUGAGCUACAUGCCAGCGCUCUCCAGACCAAUGAGGUAAAAGGAAGCCAAACUGGAGAACAAAUUGCAAAUGAAUUAUCAGACAUUUUCAACAAGUGACAAAAUAGUGACUGUUAUUUCAGACAAUGGUGCAAAUAUUAAGUUAGACAUCAAUGACCACCAUCACCCUUGCGUAGCACACAUUAAAUUUGUCGGUGAAUGAAGCCCUAAAAAAGAACCAAGAACUAAGUUAUAUUCUAAAAACAUGCAGAAGAAUUGUGAGACAUUUUAAACAUUUAAAGAAAAACUGACUCAGAUGCAGCAACAAUUAAUUGGGUGUUAAUAUAUUAAAAGUAAAAGGAGAUAACGAAUGGGGGGGUAACACAACACAACCUUGACCUUAGCCCCGCCCAUUUUCCCUCUCUUUCUUUCAAAACCACUCUUUUUUUUUCUCUCACACACACACUUUUCAAGGCCAACCCCUUCCACUUCCCCCCACCACUUCAAGGCCAAGCCAUUAUUUGACCUUGAUGUUUUCAAGGCCAAGGCCAUUCAUGUUACUACCCACUUUUGCAGAGCCAACAACUCCCCCACUCAUUCAAGAUGAAUCGCGCCAUUGUCCUUUUCUACCCCAAACUGUAUGUGUUGUGUUGUGUAACACAGUUCUUGUGUAAUACAAUAACACCAAUUGCUCGAGAAAUGGAAGCCAUCAGAAAGAGUUCGAUUUAUAAUACUCCUGAGGAUGUGAUAAUAUGUCCAUAUGACAAACACCACGUUUCGGCUCGAAAGGCACAUUUGGAAAUGCCAUCGGGCCGAUAAAGAAAAACAAAAAGCCUCGUGUGAAAUGAUGGUGAAAGAAGAAGAGGAGAAGAACUGGGAUCAUUUCAAUGAGCCCAGCUACCUCGACUUCCUAGAAACUAAAAAGAAUCAUAAUGCCUUAAAUUAAAGAAGGCCGGGGUUCUUUCCUAGAAAAUAGUGUAGAAUAAGUUUAGCUAAGUAGUAGUAGUCGUAGUAAAAUGUAAAUAUUAUAUUAAUGUAUAAAAAAUAAAAGUUGUAAAAAAAAGUUACAUGUUUUUAUGUACACCUAUUUCAACCUACUGAACAAGCAAGUGUGACCUGCAAGCAGACAGAGUCGCUCACUGUUUCAAGACCACUCAGUCCCUCUUUAUCUUUGACGUUUUCAUCUCACUUUUUUUCAUUAUCCCACUUUUUCAAGGCCACAAUAU